GACGAACGCUGGCGGCGCGCUUAACCCAUGCAAGUCGAACGGCAAGCACCUGUGUUGGUGGGGUGCUCGUGUGGCGAAAGGCUGAGUAACACGUGAGUAACCUGCCCUUGACUCUGGGAUAACUUCAGGAAACUGGGGCUAAUACCGGAUAGACGCUCCUGCUGCAUGGUGGGGGUUGGAAAGUCUCGGCGGUUGGGGAUGGACUCGCGGCUUAUCCGCUUGUUGGGGGGGUAGUGGCUUACCAAGGCGUUGACGGGUAGCCGGCCUGAGAGGGUGGCCGGCCACAUUGGGACUGAGAGACGGCGCAGACUCGUACGGGAGGCAGCGGUGGGGAAUAUGGCACAAUGGGCGGAAGCCUGAUGCAGCAGCGCCGCGUGCGGGAUGACGGCCUUCGGGUUGUAAACCGCUUUCGCCUGUGACGAAGCGUGAGUGACGGUAAUGGGGAAAGAAGCACCGGCUAACUACGUG
rnacentral:rRNA from 1 species